UUAUUGGAGAGUUUGAUCCUGGCUCAGGACGAACGCUGGCGGCGUGCCUAAUACAUGCAAGUCGAGCGGACUUUU
rnacentral:rRNA from 1 species